GGGGGCGUAAUGGUUUCGACGGGGAUGGAUUGGGCACGGUAAGCGAGCCGCAGACCGCCGGGGCUGCGUUAAAAACCGGCAAAUCAAAUAAUAACUGCGAAAAACGAAGUAGCUUUCGCGGCCUAAGCCGCGACGUUCUCCCUACAUGUCCCAUCGGGUAGGAUAGAACGCCAUUAGAUGGGGAACAGGUUAGGCUAAGCUUUGCGUCUAAACCGGUAAGAUGAAGCUACCAACUCCCUUCCCUCGCGGCAUCGAGGAAGGGAUGCGGGAAUUUGAUCGAGCCGCUGCGCUCGGAGAAAACCGUGAACAAACGUCUUCGGACAGGGGUUCGACUCCCCUCGCCUCCACCA
rnacentral:tmRNA from 1 species